rnacentral:rRNA from 1 species
CCUACGGGGAGCAGCAGUGAGGAAUAUUGGUCAAUGGACGAGAGUCUGAACCAGCCAAGUAGCGUGAAGGAUGACUGCCCUAUGGGUUGUAAACUUCUUUUAUAUGGGAAUAAAAUGUUCCACGUGUGGGAUUUUGUAUGUACCAUAUGAAUAAGGAUCGGCUAACUCCGUGCCAGCAGCCGCGGUAAUACGGAGGAUCCGAGCGUUAUCCGGAUUUAUUGGGUUUAAAGGGAGCGUAGGUGGAUUGUUAAGUCAGUUGUGAAAGUUUGUGGCUCAACCGUAAAAUUGCAGUUGAAACUGGCAGUCUUGAGUACAGUAGAGGUGGGCGGAAUUCGUGGUGUAGCGGUGAAAUGCUUAGAUAUCACGAAGAACUCCGAUUGCGAAGGCAGUUCACUGGACUGCAACUGACACUGAGGCUCGAAAGUGUGGGUAUCAAACAGGAUUAGAUACCCUAGUAGUC